rnacentral:rRNA from 1 species
CCUACGGGUAGCAGCAGUGGGGGAUAUUGCACAAUGGAGGAAACUCUGAUGCAGCGACGCCGCGUGAGGGAAGACGGUCUUCGGAUUGUAAAACUCUGUCUUUGGGGAAGAAAAUGACGGUACCCAAAGAGGAAGCUCCGGCUAACUACGUGCCAGCAGCCGCGGUAAUACGUAGGGGGCGAGCGUUUUCCGGAAUUACUGGGUGUAAAGGGGGCGUCGGCGGGGGGGAAGGUUGAAUGUUAAGUCUACAGGCUUAACUGGGAGCUGCGUUCACAACUGCUUGUCUUGAGUGAAGUAGAGGCAGGCGGAAUUCCUAGUGUAGCGGUGAAAUGCGUAGAUAUUAGGAGGAACACCAGUGGCGAAGGCGGCCUGCUGGGCUUUAACUGACGCUGAGGCUCGAAAGCGUGGGGAGCAAACAGGAUUAGAUACCCGUGUAGUC